rnacentral:lncRNA from 1 species
CUGACUUCAAGUUCAGAAGUCCUUUCCCCAAAUAAUGUUGUUUUCUUUCUAAUUCUAUACUUAAUGUUGACUUAUUUUUGCUUUAAGCAGAGUAUAGAGCCAGUCAUUUGCCUAUGAUUUCUAUUUGAUUGCAGGCUCCAGAGAAAACUGCUUUGGAAACAAUCACAAUCAUCAGAAAAAGAUACAAGCCCAUGGGCCUAGAUAAUUACAGAGAAGACCAGCAACAGACAACCUUGUCUUCGGAAAAUCCCAGACUGACCCUUGUUCUUGACAACCUAUUUUCAAGAAACCCUCAGAUUGACUUUUGUCCCAGAUCAAACAGUAAGUCCUCAAAUACCUGCCCACCCAAGCCAGAACUCAGCUGAAGACAAACAAACCUAAAGCACAUCUUAAUCAUCCAAGCUUCAGUGAAUUCAGUUAACCAGAUUGAUGCCUUCCCUUCCUAUAGAGGCUUCCCAUUUUGUGUAGCUCAUUGAAAGUCUCAGGAUCAUGGUUUUAGGUGGCAUCUUUGAUUAUGAUCUACUCUGAUUAAAGAUCCUUUUAUAUAACUAUUAUAGUAGUUCUGAUUUAUUUACAGGUUGACAGCAACACAGAGGGAAUCGGUUGUUUGCUCCUUGAUUUUUUUUUUAUUCCCAUUGCCACUUCCAGGUCCUUGAUCUCCCAUUAUCACUUUAUCUCUCAAAGAAAGGAACCUGAGAAGCCAGCCAGUUCAAACUCCAUCAUUUUGCACAAGAUAAAACUGAAACUCUGCUAGAGGAUUCUGGUGGGUGUUUGUAAUCUACAUGAAAUUAAUCCUAAGGAAUUUUUAGUCUAUGUGAAAACGUUUUUGAUCCUUUCUGCUUCUAAUAACUUUGUCCAAUACCACUUUGUAUUCAUUUUGUG